UGGCAUAUCAAAGAACCCCAAUUAUUCAAUUUUUGAUAAAAUCAAACAAAGUUUAAAUCUGGACCCUUUGGGCCCUUUAUUCCUAAACUGUUGGGACCAAAACUCCCAAAAUCAAUACCAACCUUCCUUUUAUGGUCAUAAACCUUGUGUUUAAAUUUCAUAGAUUUCUAUUUACUUAUACUAAAGUUAUGGUGCGAAAACCAAAAAAAAUGCUUAUUUGGGUCCCUUUUUGGCCCCUAAUUCCUAAACUGUUGGGACCUAAACUCCCAAAAUCAAUACCAACCUUCCUUUUGUGGUCAUAAACAUUGUGUUUAAAUUUCAUUGAUUUCUAUUUACUUAAACUAAAGUUAUUGUGCGAAAACCAAGAAAAUGCUUAUUUGGGCCCUUUUUGGCCCCUAAUUCCUAAAAUGUUGGGACUAAAACUACCAAAAUCAAUCCCAACCUUCCUUUUGUGGUCAUAAACCUUGUGUUAAAAUUUCAUAGAUUUCUAUUCACUUUUACUAAAGUUAGAGUGCGAAAACUAAAAGUAUUCGGACGACGACGACGAUGACGACGACGCCAACGUGAUAGCAAUAUAUGACGAAAUUUUUUUCAAAUUUUGCGGUCGUAUAAAAAUAAGAUAUGAUAGCGAGUACUUUUAUUCAGUCAUUUGUAUUUAAAAUUUUUAGAAUUUUAGCAUCUGCAUAUAAUUCCCUGGAUUUGUGCAUUUUUAUGCCUCCUGAAUAUUGUAGCUUCCUGAAUAUUGUAUUUAAAUAAUCAUAUGUUAUGGAAUGAAAUCAAUAGAACUUUGAAAAUAAGAUUUUUCAAAAAGGCAGAAACAUUCAAAACCCAAAAGACACUAGCAAAUAAUUUAUAAAUAUAUCAUGUGUGUGGAAAUAUUAUUUGUUAGCUCUUGUCCCUGGGGAGGUAUAAUUGUAAAUUUUUAUAUCCCCGGUCUUUCUCUGCCUGCAUUUUCUGUUUUUUACUCAAGUCAUCAAAUAUUAUUUUCAUUCCUUUUGUCCUGAUUACCUGGUGUAUCUGUUCUUAUAAGGUUUUAUCCAUCUCGAUAGAAACUCAGUCGAGAAAAAUUAAAAUGACACCUCCCUUGGAUAAGGCAUACAUCCUAAUAGACGAUUACUCCUCAAUGGACUAAGAUAAUGUAAUGUUAAUGAUAAUUGGGUGUGCAUACUUAUUUUUUAUUUUAUUUUGGUUAUUAAUCUAUUUCCUGUUUUAUUUAAUUCAUGAGCAUAGCUGUUUUGACUUAAACAUGUCUUUCACAUGUUGAUCAUAGAUUUCAAUGCCAUAAAAAAGAAUAGGUUUGUUUGCCCAAACGCUACCUACCCAGAAAAAAGCUGCCUACUCAAAUUCUUUUGUUGUCCUGAUUUGAAGAAGUUUUUUUUUAAUCAGAUAGGCAUGAAGACUAAUAAACACCCGAUACUUCAAUUUCUCUUUUUGAAAAAAAAAAAA
rnacentral:lncRNA from 1 species